AGCUGACAAGAAUUACACAAUUUAUACGUUUUAACACUAGACUUUAUUAAACCUUGUUUUUCCAAUACACUCAUAUAUGCCGAAUUUAAAUGGCCCAGGCGACAAUGCCACAGAUAGUGCGGCGGUGGGUUAUUUUCGCAAACAUUCACAGAAUUUGUAGCUGGUUUGAUGACCAUCGGCAACUCGUACAAUCCCUUAUUUGCCGCUCCUUCCAGUAAUACCGUCUCAGUAGCCGAAUCCUUUACCCGCACCUUCUGUGAAUCAAAUUCAACGGAGACAUUGUUAUCAAUACAAAAUCUGUUCACCGACAAUAAAUUUCUAGUUGCCGUAGGAACUAGUAGUAAAUCAUUAAGAACGAAAUUAUUAGAAUCUGUAAUAGCUCUGCUUUGACCAGAGUAAGAAAUUGACAAUGGACUCCCAUCCGCCGUAAAAAUUUUACCAUUAUACGCUCUGGGAUAUUGGAUAUUUUCAGGUGCGGCUGUAACGUGUGAUGUUGCCCCUGAAUCGGGGUACCACAUUAUUGUUGGACCUUCUGCAGAAAUUAGAUUAGCCGAGGGUGUGUUUCUAAAAUUCCCAUUUGUAUUGUGACUUGAAGGUGUAUUAUGAAAAUUCCCAUUUGUUCCAAAUGAGGAGGGUGUAUUGUUAAAAUUUCCAGUUGUUCCAGAAGACGAAAUUGCCCUCCCAUGCGUCGGCGGAAAUCGUUCUAGGUUUAAACGAUUAUAGCAAUCCGGCGCCGUGUGUCCCCUUUUCGAGCAGAUCUGGCAGCGGAGGUCCCCUCUUUACGAUUUAUAUCCACCGCCGUAGGUGUUCUGGUAGCGUCGUUCUUGCUGCGGUGGUUGAGG
rnacentral:lncRNA from 1 species